GGCAGUGAGGCUCAGUGAAAAGAGCACAGGCUUGUCAGAGAUCAUGGGUUCGAAUCCCAGCUCUGCCA
rnacentral:tRNA from 1 species